rnacentral:rRNA from 1 species
CACCGGCGCCCCGAGUGGCACUCGCGAUUAUUGGGCCUAAAGCGUCCGUAGCCGGACUAGUAAAUCCUCUGUGAAAUUGUGCUGCUUAACGGUACAACGUGCAGGGGACACUGCCAGUCUAGGGACCGGGAGGGGUCAGAGGUAUGCCGCAGGGACCGGUAAAAUGGGAUAAUCUGCGGUAGACCACCAAUGGCGAAGGCAUCUGACCAGAACGGAUCCGACGGUGAGGGACGAAAGCCAGGGGA